rnacentral:rRNA from 1 species
AUGCCACAAAAGCUAAAAGGAGGGUUCUACAGGACGGCGAUUCAACCUGCAAUGUUGUAUGGCGAUGACUGUUCACCGACUAGAAGACGACAUGUCCAACAGUUAGGUGUAGCAGAGAUGCACAUGUUGAUAUGGAUAUGUGGCCACACAAGAAAGAACCGGGUCCAAAAUGAUGAUAUACGUGAUAGUGAUAGAGUUGGGGUAACGCUGAUUGAAAAGAAGCUUGUCCAACAUCGUCUGAGAUGGUUUGGGCAUAUACAACUGAGGCCUCCAGAAGCGCCAGUGCAUAGCGGAAGGAUAUAG